rnacentral:lncRNA from 1 species
AUAGUAUAGCAGCAGAUGAGGCCAUCUAGAGAGUGCUUACAUAAGCCAGUACCACAGCAUACUCACCAGCAGCCAGUGCUUAACAGGCAGACAUUUUGCUAAGGAAGGGAUGACAUGGACCAAGCCAAAAGCUAGUUUCUUGGCCUGCCACAGGAACAGUGAGGGAAAAGCCAAAGAUGAACUUUUGAAUAAUGAGGCUGAGAAUGACAAUCUAUAAGAGAGAUUAGAAUUGAAACAGCUGGUCAAUAUUAAAAUGCUGAGGGAAAGAAAUUGUAUUCGAGUGAACUGGGAAGGACUCAUCAUAUUCAUGCUCUAGAUUUUCUCAUCAGCCUUCAGUCGAAACUAUAACCUUCCCAUCUAUGCAGUUGAGUUCAGUUUUGUCCUGACUACUUGGAGCAUCAGGGCCUGUGUAUCUUACUUCGCCCUCCUUGUGAGUUGCCACUUCCUGUUCAUCCUCCUAUCAACGUGAUAUAAACACCAAAAUAGACCAAAGUAAUUAUCUGGGGAAUGUCCAGAGGGUGUUUACCUUCAGAAAAUUAACAGCUUUGAGACUAAAUCGAUGACCCAGCAAGAAGGUUCUCAUCAGUGGCUGACCAGAUGCCAGAAACAUGCCAUUGGAGUGCCCAGCCUUCAGAACAAUUUUGUCUUCUACCUGAGGAAGAGAGUGAGACAGAGUAACAUAUACAUAGAACAACAAGGAUGGUCGUGUGAAAGAAAAAUCAAAGGAACAGUGUAAUAGAAAGACAGUCGAGCUGGCACUCCAACUGCUGGAGCUGCUCCUGUCUAUCCUGUCAAUACCCAGCUGUGUUAUGCCUUCUCACUCCAUCAAAACAUAAAAUAAAUAAAAGAAAAACGUAUGUGCUUGUAAUGAACAGACUCUAAAAGGGCCUUCAAUUAUACUCACCUUUUUGUAUUCAUAUUCUUGUGUAUUCCCCUUCCUUUGAGCAUGAGUGGGACCUGUAACUUGCUUCCAACCAGUGGGACAUGGCAAAAGUAAUGAGAUGUCACUUAUACAGUUACAUUAUAUAAGAAAUAGUAACUGUCUUGCAAAGAGAUUCCCUCCCUUGCUGGCUUGGCUAAAGCAGGUGACAAUGUUGAGGAGUUCCGCAUGGCAAGAAACUGAGAGUAGCCUCCAGGUAGUAGGCAGAAAGAAAGUGAGGCCCUCAAUCUAACAGCCUUUCAGGAAUUAAAUUCUGCCAACAACCACAUGAACUUAGAAAUAAAUCUUUCCCCGUUCAGACCUUCAGAUGAGAACUCAGCC